rnacentral:rRNA from 1 species
GUCCUUAAUUGCCAGCAUUUAGUUGGGCACUCUAAGGAAACUGCCGGUGAUAAGCCGGAGGAAGGUGGGGAUGACGUCAAGUCCUCAUGGCCCUUACUCGCUGGGCUACACACGUGCUACAAUGGCGGUGACAGUGGGCAGCAAACUCGCAAGAGCAAGCUAAUCUCUAAAAACCGUCUCAGUUCGGAUUGUUCUCUGCAACUCGAGAGCAUGAAGGCGGAAUCGCUAGUAAUCGCGGAUCAGCAUGCCGCGGUGAAUACGUUCCCAGGCCUUGUACACACCGCCCGUCACACCAU